rnacentral:lncRNA from 1 species
GAAUUUUAAUUUUUUUUUGGAGAAGAAUGUGGAGAAGCAAGGAAGAAAAAUGGAGGACUUUUUUUAUCAAACUUACCUUUAUUGGAAGGUAAUAUGCUUUAUUUAAUAUCAGUCCUUGUAGUAGAGUAUUUAGAUUGCCAAUAUAGAUGGAAAUUUAAGACAUCGAGCCCGAAUUUAAUGCGAUAUUUCGACAUAAAGUUUGUGCUUUUUCUUUGCACGUGGUUCGCUUUAUAGGCGAUUGUCGAACUUUAAACCUUGUUUUAAUUCUUAAUUAUUGUCGACCAAGUAAGUAAAAAGACUAGUUAAGACCUAGAAUUGUUUAAGUUGUCGAAAAAAGUUGUUAUCUCUGAGUUCUUGCAGAAAAUUUUUACAUUAUAAAAUGCCAUGUACAGAGACGAGGUGCUUGGUGCCAGUUGGUGGGACGAAUAUUUCUAUUUCAUCAGCUUGUACGUUUCAAUCUUGCGAUAAACUAUUUCAACAAUAUGGUGUUUUUGUUCAUUUAUAUGCAGAAAACGCCUUACUUUAGCAACAUUACAACGUAUUUGAUUCUUGUUUGCAAAAUAAAGUUAAUUAGAAAUAAAACUAUUAAGUGAAAAUUGCUACUGCAAUUUGCAGUUGAGCUUAGAGACGGGAAGUUUUACCGCGCAGUUUGAUCGUUGAAACGCCCAAGUUACCAAGGGCAAAUUCAAAUGUUGUCAAGCGGAAAUGCGAAUGUUGUCAUGGGAGAUUUAGGCAAUCCCCGAGCACAGAACAGGGUUGCCAGGUGGUCUGAGCCCGAAAGAGCCAAAAGAAGCCAAAAUCGAAAUUUAGAGUAAAUCUUCCGAAUUCAAGCGUUCAACACCGAAAAACAGUAAAGAAAAAACAAGUAUUUUAUCAUUUAUCAUUUUCGUUUUCCCGCCGUUCGGGGCGAACCGUGUAACCCAGGGAGAGGGUACUAAUUCCGAUCGAAUAUUUACGUACAUCCGGAAUCUCGGAUAAAUGGAUAAUGUAAUCGAACAUAGCAGAGUUUAUAACUAACUUUUACUGAUGGAUGGCAGACUAUUUUUGAAAAGUUGCUUAUUUCAGUAUUUAUUCAAAAAGAAGCCAAAAAGAGCCAAAAAAUAGAAAGAAGCCAAACGAAAUUUUUAGUAGUCAAAAGAAGCCAAAAUCGAGAAAUUUGGCUCUUUUAACGCCAAACUGGCAACCCUGGCACAGAAAUGAUGUGUUUGAUUUGGGCAAACACCUUCACUAUAAUUGGCCGAAAGUGCCUAAAUCUCCCAUAACAACAUUUGCAUUUCCACUUGACAAAAUGCGAAUUUGCCCUUGGUAACUUGUGUGUUUCAACGAUCAAACUGCGCGGUAAAUCUUACUGUCUCCAGUGGCGGAAAUUCACUUUUUCCGGUGGUGGGGGGGGCAAAGCCUCCUAAAUUUCCGACAAAACUUUCAAAUUUCCGACGUACCCCCCAUUUGCACUCCAAAAGACUGUUUUUAACCCUUCGGUUUUUAACCCUUUUAACCCUUCGGCAAUUUUCUGUGAAGGUGGGGGGCAGUCGCUCCCGCCCCACCAUGAUUUCCGCCACUGACUGUCUCUAAGCUCAACUGCAAAUCGCAGUAUGUCGAAGAAAACAAAUUUUCUUCAAAUAUUUUUUGGCUUGUCAUUGACCAGCAAUUGCCGUGAUUAGUUGGCAUUGCCACAACAUAUAAACAUUUCAUGAAGCAAUGACUGGGUCUGUGUCGGGAAACAGACAAUAUUUUUGGCAUCAAGUUCGACCCUGUUUACACAGUACUGGACGAAUUUGGGACCGGCCUGAAAUUCGUCCUUUUCGGCCGUGUAAACACACGAAAACAAUGGAACAGGAGGAAUUUGUGUGUAAACUGGCGAAAAGGGAUGAAUUUCAGACUGGUCCCAAAUUUGUCUGGUACCGUGUAAACAGGGUCUUACAUCGUAAAGCAAAUAACAAAAAAUAGGGUAGGCAGGUAAGCAAACAACCCCAACCACAUCAUGAAAAAAAUAUAAAAUAGGGUUGGCUGGAAAACCAAAACUACAGGAUAUUGUUUUGUUUCAGGCUCUGAUGUUCAUAUUGAGUUUUUCAUCUCGCUAACUAACCAAGCUAUUCACAUUCUUACUUAAAUUCUCAUAAAUUUUUGUAGAUGUACAGUGCAAGUUCCAAGAAUGUUGCAAGACCUCAUGAUUAUGAAAAAUGAACACAUUCCAAGAUCCUGAAUAAGAGGUAAAUUUUUCUUCUAAUUAUUUGUAACUUUCUCCUUGUAUUUCUUCGACAAUUCUCAUUGUAAUUUAUUAAUUGGUUUCAUGUUCUCAAUAGUGAGUUUUUAAAAUUUUCUAGAUGUGUGUUGCAGUUUCCAAGAAUGUCUCAAGUUGUUGGCUGAAGUGUUUUUGAUUACAAAAAUGAACACUGUCAUUGGAAAGUAUAUAAAAGGUCUUAAUAUUUUUUUGUCUUAUCUUACAUGAAAUGUUUUGAACAUUAUAUGAUUGCCUGUGAUCAAUAGUUUCAAAAUCCCAACAGAAUAUUGCAAAAAUAGCAUGACCAUGUUACUUAUGACACAAAAUACAAAAAAAUAAUAAACACAAUCUUUACGCUCUAAAUAUGGCGUUAUCCUGGGGCGAGGGUACUAAUUUUAUUAUUAGCGAACUUAAGAUCUAUGACG